rnacentral:rRNA from 1 species
GAAGUAAAAGUCGUAACAAGGUCUCCGUUGGUGAACCAGCGGAGGGAUCAUUACCGAGUUUACAACUCCCAAACCCCUGUGAACAUACCACUUGUUGCCUCGGCGGAUCAGCCCGCUCCCGGUAAAACGGGACGGCCCGCCAGAGGACCCCUAAACUCUGUUUCUAUAUGUAACUUCUGAGUAAAACCAUAAAUAAAUCAAAACUUUCAACAACGGAUCUCUUGGUUCUGGCAUCGAUGAAGAACGCAGCAAAAUGCGAUAAGUAAUGUGAAUUGCAGAAUUCAGUGAAUCAUCGAAUCUUUGAACGCACAUUGCGCCCGCCAGUAUUCUGGCGGGCAUGCCUGUUCGAGCGUCAUUUCAACCCUCAAGCACAGCUUGGUGUUGGGACUCGCGUUAAUUCGCGUUCCUCAAAUUGAUUGGCGGUCACGUCGAGCUUCCAUAGCGUAGUAGUAAAACCCUCGUUACUGGUAAUCGUCGCGGCCACGCCGUUAAACCCCAACUUCUGAAUGUUGACCUCGGAUCAGGUAGGAAUACCCGCUGAACUUAAGCAUAUC